UUGCCUACGGGACGCAGCAGUGGGGGAUAUUGCACAAUGGGGGGAACCCUGAUGCAGCGACGCCGCGUGAGCGAUGGAGUACUUCGGUAUGUAAAGCUCUGUCAGCAGGGAAGAAAAUGACGGUACCUGACCAAGAAGCCCCGGCUAACUACGUGCCAGCAGCCGCGGUAAUACGUAGGGGGCAAGCGUUAUCCGGAUUUACUGGGUGUAAAGGGAGCGUAGACGGCAGCGCAAGUCUGGAGUGAAAUGCCGGGGCCCAACCCCGGAACUGCUCUGGAAACUGUGAAGCUGGAGUGCAGGAGAGG
rnacentral:rRNA from 1 species